UACGAAGGGGGCUAGCGUUGUUCGGAAUCACUGGGCGUAAAGGGCGCGUAGGCGGCUUUAUAAGUCGGGGGUGAAAGCCUGUGGCUCAACCACAGAAUUGCCUUCGAUACUGUAUGGCUUGAGACCGGAAGAGGUAAGUGGAACUGCGAGUGUAGAGGUGAAAUUCGUAGAUAUUCGCAAGAACACCGGUGGCGAAGGCGGCUCUCUGGACCGAUACUGACGCUGAGGCGCGAAAGCGUGGGGGAGCAAACAGG
rnacentral:rRNA from 1 species